GCAUAGCUCAGUUGGCUAGAGUGAUGUACCGAUUAUGCCGAGGUUGCAGGUUUGAUCCCUGUAUGGGAAAGCU